ACGGAGGCAGCAGUGGGGAAUAUUGCACAAUGGGGGAAACCCUGAUGCAGCGACGCCGCGUGAGUGAAGAAGUAUUUCGGUAUGUAAAGCUCUAUCAGUAGGGAAGAAAAUGACGGUACCUAACUAAGAAGCCCCGGCUAACUACGUGCCAGCAGCCGCGGUAAUACGUAGGGGGCAAGCGUUAUCCGGAUUUACUGGGUGUAAAGGGAGCGUAGACGGCAAAGCAAGUCUGAUGUGAAAUGCGGGGGCUCAACCCCUGAACUGCAUUGGAAACUGUUUAGCUAGAGUGCAGGAGAGGUAAGUGGAAUUCCUAGUGUAGCGGUGAAAUGCGUAGAUAUUAGGAGGAACACCGGUGGCGAAGGCGGCUUACUGGACUGUAACUGACGUUGAGGCUCGAAAGCGUGGGGAGCAAACAGGAUUAGAUACCCUGGUA
rnacentral:rRNA from 1 species